rnacentral:lncRNA from 10 species
GAGAAUUGGGGUGGGGCGCGCCAAGAGGAGCAAGCAUUAUAGAACGUGGGGAGCAUGAGAAAUACACGGAGGUGGAAACGCCGGAGUGGCUGGCGGGUAAAGGCAGCGGGCGCAGAUGAAGCGGGCUGGGCGUCCCACGCGCAGAACCGUCCCGGACAGAAGCCGCAGGGCUGCGCUGGCUGGAAAAAGGAACGCGAGUACAGCGCGCGUGGCGCGGGGUCUGCUCCAGGACGGAAUCUUUUGGGUGGCCCGCAUGAGGGGUUUGCAGGACCCCGGGCCUUUGGGAAGUUAUCUGCUAAACUCCAGUAGACCCUGAGGAGCAGCGGCUCAUGAAUCUUCUUAAACUUCUGUCAUCAGCGGCUGGGCCAGCUGAAGGUGACCAUGGCACACGAGGGAGAGAGAAGCCCGCGAGAGGCGGAGAAAUGUGGGGUCGUCCAGGAGGGUCGACAAGGCAAAGAACCUGAAGACGACCCAAAAGGGUACCUAGAGUUGAACUUCCUCUCUUUUUAGAAGAAUGGAUUUCUCGGAGUCUGAAAAAUUUAUGGUUCUUCUCUGGAAGAAUUUUAUUUUAAAGAGGCGGCGAUGUAUUGCUUUAGUUGUGGAAAUGGUCCUCACAUUUCUGUUUAGUGCUGCGCUUUUGGCAACACGCUCUGUUAUUACUAUAAAUAAGAACGGACCUUUCGAUUUUGCUGCUCAGCCUGUCGAUGAAGUGCCUUUCUACAUCACAGCUUCCUUAAUUUCUCCUUCUCCUUUGGAAUUGGCUUACGUGCCUUCCAGAAGUACUGUGGUUCAGGGUAUUAUUGAAAGAGUGAAAAUGGAUUUAAACCCUCAAAUGAAAGGUUAGAAAUUAACAUUUUCUGAAAAAACAUACAGAAUUACUAAAUCGAUUUAGUGAAGACAUACUUACAACCUUAUUAACUGGUUCUUAACCUCCCAAGUAAAACAUCGUUGGAAUCCUCAUACUAAGUAUAAAUAUUAUGGACUUUGUUAAACUUGAAAGUUAAAUUUAUAUAAAAUAUUUUGUUCAUAGAGCCCAGAACAAAUAGUAAUAUUUCAAAAUGAGAUGACCAAUUAUUAUUAUUAUUCUAAGUUGUUAUCCAGUUUUGUGAUACUGUUUUUUCUAUCUGGUUGUGCUUCUUGAACCUGGGUAAGUAUACCUCCAGGGGUGUGUGAUUUUGUGCCACAGGUCAGUGGUCAGUUAUUUAAAAUAAUGUUUUAUAUUAAAAUGUGGUGUGAGUAAUAUAGGAAGGCUUUAGAAAACACUUAAGCUAUGUAGAAUUAUUUUAAAAGCCCUCAGUCUCUCACUUACCUUCAUAUUCCCGGAUCAGUUUCUUACCUCUUUCUCUUAGAGGUAAAUACUGUGAGAAGUUUAGGUCGGCCGGGCCCAGUGGCUCACGCCUGUAAUCCCAGCAUUUUGGGAGGCUGAGGUGGGCAGAUCACCUGAGGUCAGGAGUUCAAGACCAGCCUGGCCAACAUGGCAAAACCCCAUCUCUACUAAAAAUAUAAGAAUUAGCCAGACAUGGUGGUAUGCACCUAUAGUCCCAGCUACUUGGGAGGCUGAGGCAUGCGAAUUGCUUGAACCCAGGAGGAGGAGGAGGUUGCAGUGAGGUGAAAUUGCACCACUGCACUCCAGCCUGGGUGACAGACCAAGACUCUGUCUC